AUCUUUCUAGUAUCAAUCUAGUACAUGUGACUUCCAAUUACCCAGUCUUGGUUAAACUCCAAGGAAAGAUA
rnacentral:tRNA from 1 species